CCGGGGCUUCUUCUACGGUUACCGUCAUUAUCUUCACCGUUGAAAGAGCUUUACAACCCUAGGGCCUUCAUCACUCACGCGGCAUGGCUGGAUCAGGCUUGCGCCCAUUGUCCAAUAUUCCCCA
rnacentral:rRNA from 1 species